rnacentral:lncRNA from 1 species
AGAGAAGCGUGUGUCUGGGCACACUGCAAGCACGUGGGGAACAUAACCUCUACGCCAGGUAAGUAUUGGAGCAAAGCUGUAACCAAGUUACAUAUUACGACGUGGCGAUUUCCCCCUUGAAAGGCGGGUGGCCAAAUAAUUCCCCUCUACCUAAGGGUAGAGCGGUAACUUAAAACCUCAAAAAAAAAAAAAAUAAAAUAAAAUUAGAGGUUAAUAGAUGCAUCUUUAUAAUGGGUAUGUUAGGUUUGUGAAACCAAGAUCUAGAGAAACCGAAUUUAGAAUCCAGAAUGUUAUGAUAUAUAAGUGCUAUAAGCUAUAAGUUUUACGAAAAUCUGUGGCAUCCACUAUUAUGAAGAGACGAGAAAGAGAAUGCCCAUAUCUACCAUUGCAGAACCUGGAUCAGAUUGGAUCGUUAUUAUAGCCAGAAUGAAGAAAUUAAUCAGCGAUGACAUUUAUUUUUCUCUCGCUUGCACUCUGCCUUGUGCAGACCAAGAUCUAGCUUUUGUUAGAGUAAGGCGGUAAUUGGCAUGCGGCAAAUGUGCCAAUCUACCAGUGUCCCAUAUUGGUUCGGGUGACGGCAGAGCACUAUGCUCUGCUGAGCCUAUACAGGCCUCCCCAUCGUUUUGAUGAUGAUGGUGUUUUAAUCGCUGGUUGGCUGUCUGAGAAGAGACACAAUGAGUGUCUCUCUAGGGAGAACUCUCCCUGUGGCUUUAGAGAUGGCCUUUUUUUAUCGCCAGAACCUCCGCUUGAACCAAGCUGCAGUAGCCCGGGAGCCUGAAGAAAUUACUGCUGUUUAGCUCGUCGCGGUAGACGGCCCCUCCCACGCGGCCGGGUAAGUUUGAUCCAUCAUUAUAUACAUUAUAUACAUGUACAACGUUACAAAGUUAAGCGUGAUGGACACCUGGAAAGGCGUAGAGAGGUGUUCCAUCGGAAUACAGUAGUCCGUCCUCUUUGGUAGUUGCAUGGUUGUCGCCAGGAUCCACGGGAUCACCUGCUUAUUCAUUACGCUCUCUCAGCUCUCAGAGAGGCAAGCGCUAGAGAAAGAUAGCAAACGUUUUACGUUCUGCACUCUCCGCUUUUAUUGUUUUUGCUGACAGCAAAGUAAACAUUUGGAGCGGCAUAGCAACAAAUAUUUUGCAGACAUGUUUGUUUCUAAAAAGGAUGUAAUUGAAUAAAUAUUCAAUUACAUACACAUUUUAUUACACAUCCGCAAUAUAAUAGUAGUUGCAUGCAUGAAGAAACUAUAAGGAGGUCUCGUCGGCAACACUAUACAGAAGGGGCGAGUGAAAAGUACGAGUGAGAGGGCUCUCGCUGCAAGUGUGAGGGCAACGACAAUGGAUUAUGAAGAAAAAAUUUCGUCCGCAACCAACCUUCCGCGUCGACAAGCUAACGAGCACUGAUCAAAGGCAGAACCAGCGAGUAACUCUGCCACCGACGAGGCCUCCUUAUAGUUUCUUUAUGGUUGCAUGCAUAUAUCAUUGUCUUCCGCUUACGUCUUCAUUCAUAAACAAUGAAGAAAUUCUUUGCGAUUUGUCAAAGCGAUCCGUUCGCACGAACUUUGCUCUACUCAGAAAUGCCACGUUAUUACACUUGGAACGCUACGUCGAAGAAAUUUCAACGUCGGAAGCAAGGCGAUGCAGUUCCUUGUCAUCCAGGUAUGCGUUCUACUGAUGCUCUUGGUCGUAUUGACACAGUUCAUCCGAAGAAUGAUUAAUGUUUCUAUUUGCGGUUGUUGCUGGUACAUGUUCGAGGGCCAACAUCAUUUGAAUCACUGCGAACUGUUAAUGGUAUCGUGUGCCCCACAUUUCGUGCAGCAUGUCAAGAGCUAAAUUUGCUUGAAAACGAUACGAGACAAUCGCUGAAGCAAUUAUUUCUGCAUCUCCGAGUCAGAUACUCACAUUAUUUGCUAUCAUCAUUUCUACAUGCUUCCCAUCGAACCCACUUGACCUGUGGAACAAAUACAAAAAUAACAUGUCCUAAGAUAUUUUACAUAGAAUUCGCGUCAGCUCAAGAAAUUACAAUCUUGAGGUGAAUGAGGAGAUCCAUAACCAGACUUUGCUCUUGAUCGAAGAUAUGUGUUACCUCAUGUGCGGCAGUUUGUUAGUUAGGUUAGGAAUGCCAGCGCCAGUUCGCGGAAUGAAUGACGCAUUUAAUAGAGAAUUGGAACGUGAACAUGAAUAUGAUCCACAUGAACUAAUCCAAUCAGUUCAAACGAAUGUACCUCUGUUGAAUCCUAAGCAGAGGGAAGUCUAUGAUACACUGAUUAAUGCAAUUGAUGAUGGAAAUGGCGGCUUAUUUUUUUUUGAUGCCCCCGGUGGAACUGGGAAGACAUUCCUCAUGUCAUUGAUUUGACCGAACAUUAAAAGAUCUGCGCAAUGACUCGAGAUAUUUUGGUGGUGCAAUGAUUUUAUUAUCUGGCGAUUUCCGACAAACACUACCAGUCAUUCCAAGAUCUACUGCUGCAGACGAAAUAAACGCUUGCCUCAAAGCAUCAAAUCUCUGGCGAUAUGUAACGAAACUUUAACUGUCUGUAAAUAUGAGAGUUGCAUUGUUGAACGAUCUAUCUGCAGUAAUGGCCGUGUUCCUGUUCACAAAUCGAGCGGUUUGAUUUCAUUUCCUCCAAAUUUUCGACAAAUUUUUGCCGCUAAAAAUAAAGAUGUAGAGGACCUCAAUCUUUUAAUUCAAAAUCAAAUCGUAGGUACUCUAUAUUCAUUCAAAUCUAUCGACUGUGUAACAAACGAAGAAGAAGCCACUAAUUAUCCAACUUUAUUUUUAAACUCCUUGGAUGUGCUUGGUUUACCACCACACAAUUUCAAACUUAAAGUUGGCUCGGUAGUCAUCAUGCUUAGAAAUUUAAACCAACCAAAACUGUGCAAUGGAACGCGUUUGGUGAUAAGAAAACCGAUGAGCAAUUCACGCGUCGACUCUUGAAGGAAAAUUUAAAGAUGAAGUUCUUAUUCCAAGGAUUCCGAUGAUCCCAACGGAUAUGCUCUUUGAGUUUAAACGAAUUCAAUUCCCGAUUCGUCUUGCCAUGACAGGGCCAAUCCUUGACUAUUUGUGGCCUCAAUCUAGAAAAUGAAUGUUUUUCUCAUGGUCAAUUGUACGUGGCAUGCUCACGUGUCGGCAAACCAUCCGCUUUAUUUUUUCUUGCGCCUGACCAAAAAACAAAGAAUGUCGUUUACCACAAAGUGCUUGAAUGAAAAUCCUAUUACCAUCGCAGUGGAUCAUUGCAACCUAUAGAAGAUGCACAGCAUAAAUUCUUGCAAUAUGGGCAAUAUGGAAGAACAACUUGACAGGCGUCAAGGGCUCAGCACAGCUACGAAGAGAGCAAUUCUCUAAGAUCUACAGCAAACGCUUCAUGAACAUCAUGCAUUGGUCAGGCUGUUCAAGACUGCUUUAGAGCGCAUGCCAAGUGAUUGCAAUUCGUUCAAUUAAUUACAUUUGUAAAUAUGUCACGAAAGGGAGCGAUAUGGCGGUUUUUGGUAUCCAAACAUCAAAAACCAACGAUGAAAUCACGCGCUAUCAAGUUGGUACUUUUUUGUUUCUAUCUAUAUAAACAUAUUAUUUUGUAUCAUUGUUUUACGUUCAUCAAAGCCUAAAUUAGUUCAGCUAAAAAGAAACACGACAUUCAUUGACUCUUAGGCGGUGCGAAGUUCGCCGGGUCAGCUAGUAUACAUAUGUAUAUUUGUACUUAAAAUUUGAUAUUUAGUAGAAUCACGCACACACGACCAAAAUCUUCCUGGCUACAGUGUUUCCAACAGCGAUAUCCAUUCUAUUAUCUUCUCCUCGUCAAUAUUGUCCGCUUCUUAUACGUCCCUUCUGUUUUUCAUUUUUAUAUCCGGUACUCGAAGAGUAAAUAGGGUGUAUUGUAUUUGUGUGAUUAACUGUAGUAUGUAACGCACCGAAGGAAAUGUUUCCGACCCCAUACAGUAUGUAUAUUCUUGAUCAGCAUCAAUAGCCGAGUCGAUUGAGCCAUGUCUGUCUGUCCGUCCGUGUUGUUGAGCGCCUGGAUCUCAGAGACCAUAAAAGCUAGAGCCACCAAAUUUUGCAUCCUGACUUCUGUAUGCUCACACUGUUACAAGUGUAUUUCAAAAAUGAGCCCCGCCCCGCAAAAGGGCGAAAACCUCCCAAACCUACAAUUUUGAAGAUAAAAGAAAACUAAAAACUCCAUUCCGUAGGGAAUGACCAUAAAUCAUUAUUAUAGCCACAAUGAAGAAAUUAAUUUUGCGGUGUCUGCACCCACCCUGUCAAGCAGCUUUUUUUGUUUUUUUCACAUUCUCUUAUUCACACUCAGCUUCGUGUAGUCAGCGGCCUCUGCCUCUGCCUCGAGUCUGCAGUGUGUGGGUCUAGGGAAGGGGGCGAGCUUAAUCAGCGUGUUGGUGUGAGAAGUGUUAUAGAUGUAGAUGACAGAUGAAAAAAUUUAAAAUUUGACAUAUAACCGCUAAGAUACAGAUGUAGUACUGAGUGCCGGGUAUAAAAGUUGUGACGCGUAAGAAGCGUCUUACACGUCUCUCCUCGUUUUUACUGUAUUCACUGUACCUACAUAUACCAACGUAGCUAUUAUGACACAAUAGUCAACUAUAAAAUUAGAGGUUAAUAGAUGCAUCUUUAUAAUGGGUAUGUUAGGUUUGUGAAACCAAGAUCUAGAGAAACCGAAUUUAGAAUCCAGAAUGUUAUGAUAUUAGUUAUAUAAGCUAUAAGUGUUACGAAAAUCUGUGGCAUCCACAAUUAUGAAGAUACGAGAAAGAGAAUGCCCAUAUCUACCAUUGCAGAACCUGGAUCAGAUUGGAUCGUUAUUAUGGCCAGAAUGAAGAAAUUAAUCAGCGAUGACAUUUAUUUUUCUCUCGCUUGCACUCUGCCUGUGUUCUGCUGAGCCUAUACAGGCCUCCCCAUCGUUUUUUCAAUCGACAUGCGCACAGGUGAUGGUCUGCUGCUAGUGUUUUAAUCGCUGGCUGGCUGUCUGAGAAGACACACAACCAGAACCUCCGCUUGAACCAAGCUGCAGUAGCCCGGGAGCCUGAAGAAAUUACUGCUGUUUAGCUCGUCGCGGUAGACGGCCCCUCCCACGCGGCCGGGUAAGUUUGAUCCAUCAUUAUAUACAUUAUAUACAUGUACAACGUUACAAGGUUAAGCGUGAUGGACACCUGGAAAGGCGUAGAGAGGUGAUCCAUCGGAAUACAGUAGUCCGUCCAUAUUGGUAGUUGCAUGGUUGACGCCAGGAUCCACGGGUGCCCAACCGUGUAUGUUUUCCCCAUGUCACGAAGUAAGCCCGAAGGCUUUUCUGCAGGUAUAGAGGCUACUGCGCCACACGAAACAUAGACAAUAUAUAAAUAUAAUAUACGCAUCCAUACAUAAGCGUAAUUAGAAGAGACUAAACCUUAGAUCCUUAUAGUAAUGACACAAAAACACAUUUUACAUCUUAUCUACUUAUGUCAUCGCCAUCUACAUCACUUCCCCCUCCCCUAGAACUGCACACUACACGAAACAGUGUGGAAUGGGAGAAUGUGCAAAACAAAAAAAUAAGCUGCUGGACGGGGUGGACGCAGCCACUGAACAUUAAUUUCGUCAUUCUGGCUAUAAUAAUGAUCCAAUCGGAUCGCAAUUCGGUGAUCUGAUAGAUAUAAUUAUUCACUACGGAAUGGCGUUUUUAGAUUUCUCUGAUCUUCAAAAAUGUGGAUACCCUAAUAAUGUCGUGUGUCAAGCUUUAGCCGCUCUUAAACGAUAUUCAAGGUUGAGCGCUCUUAUCUUUAUUACACCCAAGCAAAGUGGCGAACUACGGACAGUGGGAAACAUAAACGACAUUCGAAUGAUUGCACAGUUCGGAGCUGCUAACGCUGCUGCUAAGGUUCGUGAAAAUACGUAUGUAGGAUUAAUUUGGUGCCUCUAGUUUUUAUAGUCUCUGAGAACUAGCCGACAAACAAGACGGACAGACAGAUAUGGCUCUAUCGACUCGGAUAUUGAUUCUGAUGAAGUAUAUAUAUACUUUAUUAGGUCGGAAAAGUUUCCUUCUUUGCGUGAAGCCUAGGACUCAGAUCCGAAAUAACAUUUACUAGCAAACUGUGCACUAUACUUUGUGAGCGGAAGAGUGUGGCCAGAGGUGAAAGGCGCAUUCCGUUCGGUUACACUGGGCAGUGUUUUGCUUUUUUUACUUUUUGAAACUAUGUGAAAAGUGAAUAGAAGGUAAUUAAAAUAAUGAAAUUAAAAUCGAUCCGUUCAGGAAAUUUAUUUUAAUGGAAUUGGUUUCUCUUGCAUUGGCGGUGGAGGAGGCCAAUCAACGGAAAAAGCGCCGACAACAUUGAGUAGACCCAUAUAUGCAGGAAAGAAACCAGGAGGGUCGUUUGUUUAUACAUAUGUAUGAGUAUUCUAGGAAUGGAAUAUGAGUAUGGAUUCCCAUUUAACAGUACCCUUUACUCCGUAAUUGCACCGUUUGCAAACGUUUUUGGAUCUGAGUACUAGGCUGAAACACUAACCAUGCAGUACCCUGCAGUACGGGUCAUCGAUGUGUAAGCGACGACAUAUCGUCAUUUAUCCAUCUGACAAAAGCGAUGACUUUUCAUACAAAAAUCUGAUGUAGUUAACACGGAGAUGUCCUAGGAGCAUAAGUGAUGACGAGACUCGUCGAGAGCACACCCAUUUAUAAGAGAUGAGUUUACCUAAAAUAUAAUGCAUUAAUAAGUGCUGAAUUUUCCUAAAAAAUAAUGCAUAAAUAAGUGAUGAAUUUCUCCAAAAAGUAAUGCAUUAAUAGGUAAAGAUUUUUCUGAAAAAAAAAAACUUGUGCAAAUUGAGUAUAAAACUUUUUUAUUUCCUUUUAAUUAUAAAAUUUACAUUUCGUUUUGUUCUGUGUUUUUUUCACAGAACCUUUUAGUUAAGCUGCUGUUCGUAUUUCCCA